CGUCUCGUGCUGGUGUCGCGGAUGUGGGUGCGCGCGCGCCCCCCGUCCCUCUCUUCACGUCCUCGGUUGCUCUGAGUUGCCCGUUUGCCAUUGGCCCGCGCCACUUGGCGAGUGGCGGGCGCUGCGUGGAUGUCGCCUUAAAUGUCUUUGAAAACGUGGUUAUGAGCUGCCUUCAAGAACAGCUGCAGUUCUUGUGAUGAAGAUGGCAGCUAUCAGAUACCAUAUUUUCAAGUUGGUGCUUUCACACACCUGCUUGGUAUGGGAGUUCCUGUCUAAGAAGCUGUGACGUGUUACUCGCUCCAUUACAACUCAUGGAUGGAUUGAAACAAGUUACCACUACUGGAGAACUAUACCUGCAUUACCCAAGUAUGCAAAGCUUUGCCAAGUUACUACAAGGUCACGCAAGAUGUUAAUGUGUGCUGUACCAUGGUAACCAUGUAACCCGAUUAACUUGAUGAAAAUGUGUUAAGUUUUUUAAAUAUGUCACUUCAUACUCUGCCUGCACUCUUGGGCGCACUUUAUGCAUUUAUUUGUUGAAGAAUUUUGCACACGUCAGCAAAUGCAAAUUAAAAUAAAAACACAUUUACUUAUGCAAAUUAAAAUAAAAACAGGUUUACUUAUGCAAA